CAAAAAGUGACAAUUUAAAACACCACUUUUCCUGUGUUAUUGUACUAUAAUUUUCAAUUUUCAUAGAUUCUGCUGUACAUGCAAAUUACAAUAAAACUACUUUUUGUCAUUCUCACUACUGCCAUUACUGAUAGACAGCAUGCUGGUAGGCUACUAAAUAAAUCAGAAAUUAUUUGUUUAUAUUUUUCAAGAUAACAUCAAGCAGUACGAAAUAUAAAGGUUCGCAGUUUUGACUAUGCUCAACAUCAAAGCCAACACAUAAAUGCAGAUUCUUUGGAGUUGCUGUGAAUCCUCAUGCAAAUUCGUUGGAGCUGCUGUGAAUCCAUAUGCAGUACUGCUGUUGGAAAAGGAGCAAACAGUGUGGUAUCUAUGGCCCACCAUCACUUCAAGCAUCAUUGCUAUGGAGAAAAGAAUGUUUCAUUACAUAUGCGCAAUUAUAGUGGACGAAAUAAAAGAAGUUGUAAUAAGCUAUGGAAUGUGGCUUGUUAUGAUGGGUCUACAUGAUGAAUUGAAGUACAACCUGAUGGAGGCAGGGCAUACAGAAUUCACUCCUGAACAUGUUUAGAAUGUCUUCUGCAUGACCUGGUACAGUAUUCUUGAAGGAUUAUAACUUCAACACAGAGACGGAGAUUAGUAUUUUUAGGCAGGGGGUUGGCAUGACAGGCAAAUUCACCAGCCGUAUUACCAUUCUUGAGCUUGAUGCCAGUCGACCGUGGUACCUGUAUAAUGAAAUAGCGCACCUUUGCCACAACAGCAAUGUAUGCUCAAAACCAGCAGUGCCUAAGCUAUCAAAAUUGUGAACUGCAGUCAUUUAAAACGAAGAAUGAAUGGAAAAAAGUGUUUAACAUUUAAAAUAAUAGAGAAAAAAAUCUCUGAAAGUUUAAUUAAUUUGAAAGUGUUUUUGAUUUUUUGAAGAUGUACUAGACCCAAAUUCCAUAUAUCUGAAUUCCAAAAAUGUUACAUAUAGUAUAUGUAAACUUUGAAUUAACAAAUUUAUGGUGUCAACAGUAAUAUGCAUUUGUUAAAUAUUGACACACUAUAUACAUGUAAGGCUGAACACAGUAUAAAUGAGAAUAUGUUGUAUUAUGUUAACUGCGUAACGAUGGAAACUUUUUUCUGUUGUUCUAUAUUAUGUCUUGGAAAAAAAAACAUUGAUGGAAGAACACUUUUCAUUGAUGCAUUUUUUUAUUUUUACAUGUAACGGUAAAUGCUGAAAGUGUUCUACAACAACUUACCAGAAAUGUCAUUGUUGCCUCAUUGAAGCAUAUACCGCAACUCCAUUUUAACCAUAGCAACAGAAAUAUAUUGUACAUGUACCUUUUAACAGUUUUAAGCUAUGCUUUCCUCUUUGAUUUUGUCUGACGGAACAAGUAGAUGACUACGAUGAAUGCCUUUAUGAGUGUUUAGCUAAAAGUUUGCUUUUAAUUUAUAUUUAAAGAACAUUUUUAUGCUUAAGAUACCUUGCCUUCUGCUUCCAUUGCGUGUGUUAGCUUUUAUUUUCAUCUUAAUAUUCCGGCGAUUCAUUGUGCGAUCAUUUUACCUUUUCUUUGCGACGGAUUCCGCGGAGUUCGGUUUUUGAAAGAAUCAAAACAGUUCGAAAGAAGAGACACGACCUGGAGCCAAAUACAAUUAUUACGGAUAUGACAUUUAAGUGCAAUUUAGUACUUUUACAGUCUUGACAUAGUGUUAUAAUUGUUUAUUAACGUCACUAUCGUUAGUGUUUUGUCGUGUAUGGACAAUAUUUUGAUUAGAGUUUUGUCUGUCUUUUAAUCAUUGUAAUUUGUCAUCUUUUGUUUAUCAUCUGUAAUCAAAUUUGUAAAAAGUGUACAUAGAUGUUUGAUGUUGUUCUGAUCUGCUAUUGUUUUCUGUGUACCCAUCUCCCCCUUCCGUCCUGUGAAACAUAUAUGUAGGGAUUCCCAAAGAGUACACUGUAUGCAUAGGCUAAAUUAGACGAGAAAGAAAUAAGCAGGCAAAGCAGGAAAAUAAAACUCUUUUAACUACACACAUGCCUACUGAAAAUACAUGUUAUGUGGUUAGCGCAAAGAAGGCUAGAAGGCGUGUUACGUUGUUCUGUUCUUAUUUUUAUUAAUCUUUGUUUAGUGCCAUUACGGGCAUUUUUAGUGUCAUAUUUAUACAUCAUGUGCCAAAGUUAUGUUCUUAUUUUGACAAUUUGAAAAAAAGUCGUUUUGAAUUUACUGGUUGAACAAAUGUUUCAGAUCAAUAAAAGCCAUAUUUAGUGAGAAAAAUACUGUUGUUUACAGUAGUGUGUUAAUUUUACAUAAAUAUAUCGAAUGUUAAAAAUGUUCGAUGUUCUGUUUGUUACAAUUAUUAAACGGUAACUGAUGUCAUAUCCGUAACUGUACCAUCUAUAAGAACAUUAAAUAUUAAUUUGCACAAUUUUUACAUAGAAGGAGAUGGUGUGUAAGUGACUUAAUAAGACCACGCUUGGAUGUCAAUUGUCAGCAGAUAAUCAAAUGUCUAUAUCGUCUGUUUCCUGCAUGGUCCAUAAUUUUAUCAUUUAUUUUAUCUGGCCUUGUGUUUGAUGAGAACAUUUGGCACACGCUAUACCCAUAAAGAUGAAAAAUUAUUCUAAGUUGUAAACCUAACCCUUACCAUAGAUAUAUCUUAAAAAUAUCCCCGUUACAUUUAUAUGGACAACCUGUUUUCUACGCUAAUUGUCAGAAUACUUAAUUCUGGUACAUAAUAGGUAGAUCCAAUCUGACUAAAGUACAUCUCCUAUUACGCUACGCAUAGGAUCUGACAACGAGCUAUUGAUGGCCUCGUUCUGACAACCCUUCCGCUAGCCAAUCAAAAGUUAACUUACAACAUUUUGUAAGCUUUAAAAAGCCUUGGUAUUUGAUAUCAAAAAUGUUUAUGUCGAAAGAUGUCAGGUAGCCGUUUAGCUCAGUCGGUAGCGCAUUUGCUCUGUAAGCGAGAGGUCCCGGGUUCGAGCCCUGGAUUAACUGCAGAUUUUUCUUACUCUUUGACAUUCGAAAAAGUUGUCUGAUUGGUUCAAACAAAAAUAGAUUUGCGAAAAUAAAAAUAGCAAUCUUGGAAAUCCAAAAUAUACAGAACACGAAUGUGAAUGGGUCGUUCUCAGAUCUUCGUUUAGAAGAUCAAGUACUUUAGUCAGAUUGUAGGUAGAUCAAACAUUAUGUUACAUGUAUUUGCUAAGUUGCCUAAGGAGGGUAACAUACUCCAGUACACGUUUGACAGCAUUCAGAAAGACAACAAACAUUUGUAAAGCAUUACAGCUAUUUUAAAACACAAAAGUAUGCCUUCUGAGUUUUAGCAAUUUAAAAAAAGAGAUUGUGAACACUUCAAUGACUAUAACUCUUUAAGCAACUUUAUUUAAGGCCCAAAUAAUACUUUCGUGUAUGAAGUUAAUACCAUUAGAAUGGAUUAGAUUUAUACUUUACUGAAUGUUAAAUUAAACAAAAGGGAAUGAAAAGUUGAAUAAACAUAGUUUUGUAUAAUUUGAAAACAAGAAAUGAGUUGAUACUUCCGUAUCAGGACAUACGGGGACAUCUUAUAUUCAAUGACUGAUAUCAUGUAAGAAUUAUGGCAUGUGAUAUCUAGUUUGUCAACUAUUCGUCGCAGGAGGAAAAAACGAAAAACACAUUUAGGCAGACGCUCCUUCUUCCAUUAACAGUAAAGGGUUUCGAUAAAAUUUUAUUUUUGAACGACUGCUUGAAAGAUUAAAAGACAAGGCAAAACAGCUUUUUUCUGCCUUAAUUGAGGAUAGAGACAAGAAAACUUAAUUACUGAACUUGAUUACAGAAUAUUUUAAGGUAUUGUAUGAAUAAUGUCCCGUAUAACAUAAAUCGCUUAUGUAAUGGUUUAACCAGAAAAAAUGGUAUACACACAUAUGUCUGCCUUCGGAUACUAUUACAUGUUUUGUAACUUGGACAGACAUUUUUUGUCAGCUUUAUAUUUUGCUGUCAUUUUGGGUCAAUUCUGUCACUGGUUCCUUAAAACGAAAUGUUGACUUCGUACUUGUUUGAGAAUACGGACAUAUGUUUUAAUUUAAUAGCAGAUUAACUAAUUGCUAUAAUUAUCUAUCUUACGAAACAGCAGUUGACUAAUUAAACGAUAAUCUGUUUUAUUACUAACAAACUGUUUUUACCAAACUUGUAAACGACUCCAUGUUUACAGAAAAUGUGCGAGGGACUCAUCUUAAAGUAUAAGGCACCAUUAAUAUCUAUAUUCAUCUUCUCUUUGUUGAAUAACUCGUGACCUGUUUCAGUUUUAUUUUCCAAGUGUUUCAGUAUCCUUUGGUCGAAGAAAGCUUACAUUUUGACUUAAACAGAAACUACACGUGUCAAACGUUGCGUUUGAAAACCAUAAUUUGAAUUCUUUGAAACGUGACAAUUUUGCAUGGUGUGAUUUUAUACGAUUAUUAUGAACAACUACCACAUGUUGACGUUGUUUGUCUGUAUAGCGCACGAAAUAAAGUGCUCCGUGAGGAAACUUUUUCGUGUCUAAUGCUUUCAAACGUAUUUCGGAAUGAUUAGGCACAACUUUAUUGAACGCAACCUGAUCAAUUCGCAGAUGUUUCUCCAGAAAUGUGUCCCAUGCUUGCAUUAAGUUCCGACAUGCCUGGCAAUUUUUUAUCACUAUAAAUCCCGUGCAGUAGUUUCGUAGUCCAUAUUUUGGCAUCAGUAUGUCAAACGUAUCAUUAAACAACGGAAAUGGGUUUUUUAACCAAACAGUAUCAGCAUCUGUAUAUACAACGUUGUACCCUUUCUGCAAGUAUUUCAAUAUAUACUUUGGGCGCCCUGAUACCAAUUUAGAGAAAGGUUUAGUUCCGUACGUAGCAGCAGCAGUCGUUGAAUUCCGCAAAUUUUUAUCAGGUGUAAUAUAAGUAUAUUUGUUAAGCAGUUUGGGGUACACAAUGUUAUCUUCGGCAAUGACUAUUAUUCUGAUAUCCAAAUUAAGUUUUCUGUAAAAAUGAAGCCUAUUUUGGAAAAAGUCGUAGAAACCGUCAUUUAUUGUUAGUAAUAUGAUCCAAUCCUUAUACGAUUGUGUCAACAAAUUCGCAGUAUUUUUACUUUUGUAAUGGAAAUAUUGAGUACUCACCAAAACAGAAACUAAAGAAAAUGACAGAACGAUGAAGACAAAUGUUUUUUGCAUUAUUUUGCUAAAGCUUGGUUUAAAGAAAUAUAUAUUACAAAG